rnacentral:rRNA from 1 species
AUUGAACGCUGGCGGCAUGCCUUACACAUGCAAGUCGAACGGCAACAGGUCUUCGGAUGCUGACGAGUGGCGAACGGGUGAGUAAUACAUCGGAACGUGCCUAGUAGUGGGGGAUAACUACUCGAAAGAGUGGCUAAUACCGCAUGAGAUCUACGGAUGAAAGCAGGGGAUCGCAAGACCUUGUGCUACUAGAGCGGCCGAUGGCAGAUUAGGUAGUUGGUGGGAUAAAAGCUUACCAAGCCGACGAUCUGUAGCUGGUCUGAGAGGACGAUCAGCCACACUGGGACUGAGAAACGGCCCAGACUCCUACGGGAGGCAGCAGUGGGGAAUUUUGGACAAUGGGCGCAAGCCUGAUCCAGCAAUGCCGCGUGCAGGAUGAAGGCCUUCGGGUUGUAAACUGCUUUUGUACGGAACGAAAAGCCCCGGGUUAAUACCCUGGGGUCAUGACGGUACCGUAAGAAUAAGCACCGGCAAACUACGUGCCAGCAGCCGCCGUAA